AUUGAACGCUGGCGGCAGGCCUAACACAUGCAAGUCGACCGAGUCGCGGACGGGUGUGUAAUGUAUGGAAAAGUGCCAGAUGGAGGGGUAUAAAUACUAGAAACGGUAGCAAAUACCGCCAUCCAUCAGAUGUACCCAGAUGGGAUUAGCUAUUUGGUGGAGGAACGGUUGACCAAGGCGAAGAUCCCUAGCUGGUCUGCGAGGAUGAACAGCCACACUGGAACUGAGACACGGUCCAGACUCCUACGGUAGGAAGAAGUGGGGAAUAUUGCGCAAUGGGCGAAAGCCUGAUGCAGCCAUGCCGCGUGUAUGAAGAAGGCCUUCGGGUUGUAAAGUACUUUCAGCGGGGAGGCGUUACCCGCAGAGGAAGCAGCGGCUAACUCCGUGCCAGCCGCCGCGGUAAUAC
rnacentral:rRNA from 1 species